ACUUGACAGCGAAAGCUGACACUAGCCACGACAAGGAGAUAUUACAUG
rnacentral:ncRNA from 1 species